rnacentral:tRNA from 1 species
GCCCGGAUGGCGGAAUGGUAGACGCAGGGGGCUUAAACCCCCCAGGCCCGCAAGGCCGUGCGGGUUCGACUCCCGCUCCGGGUA